rnacentral:rRNA from 1 species
UGGGGAAUUUUGGACAAUGGGCGCAAGCCUGAUCCAGCCAUUCCGCGUGAGUGAAGAAGGCCUUCGGGUUGUAAAGCUCUUUCGGCAGGGAAGAAACAGUUGAGGCUAAUAUCCUUGACCAAUGACGGUACCUGAAGAAGAAGCACCGGCUAACUNNGUG